rnacentral:rRNA from 1 species
UACGUAGGGCGCAAGCGUUGUCCGGAAUUAUUGGGCGUAAAGAGCUCGUAGGCGGCCAGUUGCGUCUGCUGUGAAAUCCCGGGGCUCAACCCCGGGCGUGCAGUGGAUACGGGCUGGCUAGAGGCAGGCAGGGGAGAACGGAAUUCCCGGUGUAGCGGUGAAAUGCGUAGAGAUCGGGAGGAACACCGGUGGCGAAGGCGGCGCUCUGGACCGAGACUGACGCUGAGGCGCGAAAGCGUGGGGAGCAAACAGG